GGCCAGCCUGAACUACAUAGUGAGACCUUGUCUCAAAAAGACUAAAAAUUAAAUAAAUGAAUAAAAAACUUCACACUUUCGUAGAGCAAGCAGUCAAUAAACAAGAUAAAUAUGCUUCAUAUGACAUGGGUUGGCACUAUGCAGAGAAAUAAGGCAGAAAAGGGGGAGGGGGUUGAAAUGGGCAGGGGACAGCCCAGCAAGCAGGUGACAUCUGAGCCACGAUGCUAGGAGGUGGGGGAUAGAGCCGUGGUAGGAGCAAGUGUCCCGGGGAGUGAACAGCAAGUGCAAAGGCCCUGCAGCAGGUGUGCCGAAGGCUUGUUUGUUGUGCAUCUGAAGAAGCUGGUGUGACAGAGGCAGAGUGAGCAAGGGAGAGGGAAGCAGGGAUGUGGAGAUGAGGGUGCAGGCCCUCGUGUGCUGUUAGAAGGAUUUGGCUUUUGUUCCAUGGGCAGUGGGGGCCGUGGAGCGUUCUGAGCAGAGGAGGGACAUGGUCUGACUAGGUUUUCUUGGGCUCCUCUGGCCGUGAGUGCAGCUAGGCUGGGAGAGGCCAGGCCAGGCGCAGGGAGGGUAGAGAGGAGGCGGCUGGAGCCGUCAGCCCUGGUUUGGUGACCUUGUUCCUCCCCUGCUGUAAAGCUUUCAUGGCUCCCCAUCACCCCCAGACAAGUCCCAAGCUCCUUAGCGCGGCAUUCAGGGCGCUGGUUAGCCUGAGCCCCCGCCCAGCUCUGCCUUCUUCCUGUGCCCGCUGCAUGUGGCUGUCCUUGCCGGUGCUGCUCCUUUCGCCAGAACCUCGCCCCUAGCUCCUGCACGGCCCAGGUGCACCUGAGCUAGAGUUAGGAAAGGGGGACAGGCGGGCCGGGACACUGCUCCCUGCAGUGGGCUCGCUACCUGGUAGCAGGUCCAGGGGUGACAUGACACUGGGCCUGUGGCCUCCGCAGCCUGCUGUGUGAGCUCGGGUAGAUCACAUGCCAUCUCGGGGCCUUGGCUUUUAUGCUCCGAAAAGUCACCAGGUGAGGACCUCCAAGCAGUCCCCUUGCCUUCAGGGACUGUGGCUGCCUGUCUUGGCCAGAUGUGUCAGGCCAGCCCGUGCCUCAGCUUCCUCACCCGUGAGGUGGGGCGGUCCCAUGGCUGUCUUGGCAGAAGUCAGGGUGAUGCAAGUCUAAUGCGGUCAGCAGGCUGUCUGGGCUCUGCCUAGCGCACCCUGAUUUUGCAUUUCAACCAUCAGGUCAUCAGUGAUCUAUCAAUAGUGCAAUGCAUCUUUGCGUUUUUCUAGUCAAACAAAUGCCCUUUUGGUUUAAUAUAACUUAGUAAAUUAAUGAGAUGAGGGAGAAAAUUCCAGGCCUCAGGAUAGUCGCUGUGGCCAGAGCAUGUGUAUUUUUUGGUUUUAUUUGUUUUUUUGAGACAGGAUCUCUCUGUAGUCCAGGUUGGCCUCCAACUCUCAGCGAUUCCCCUGCCUCAGCCUCCUGAGUGCUGGGAUUACAGGUGUGCAAAUUCACGCCCAGUGGGAGCAUAUGUCCUUCUAAUGAAGUGUCGAGGACGAGCGAUAGGAGUGUUAUGAACAUGUUAGGAAAUUGUGACCAUGCUGCCGGGUAACCUUCCUUCCCUGCUCAGGCCUCCGUCUCUUCUCUGACUGUGACAGCUCCCUCUCUGCCUGCCUUGCUCAUGGGAUUGUUUUGGCUCAAACUCAUCCCCACUACUAUCUAUUAAGCGCCUCCUGUAUGCAAAGUAAUGGUUGUGUCUCCCUCCCCGUCCACCUCCCUCCCUCCCGGCAUGGAAACCGGAGCUGCCAUUCCCAGGGAGAGGACAGCGGGGCAGGGCGGACAGGGCCGGGGAUGCUGCCCAGGGAGAGGAGGAAGUGGGGGCUGGGCCGGCCGGGCUGACGCAGCUGUGAUGUCAGAGCCAGGCCGCAGGCAGCCGGCCCCAGGCUAAUGGUGCCCGCUCAUGGCUGGCCGGGGCAGGCUGCCUCCCCAGCUCCUCCCCUUCACCCCCCUUAACCCCUUCCCAGCCUCCCUUUCCCAGACAGCCAUCCCCCAGGCCUGGCCUUGCCCGCAAGAUUCCCAGAUUUCACAACUGGCGCUGAAUCAUGUACAGUAAGUCCAGGGAGAGAAACUCCCGGCUGCCUGGCGUCCCCGCACAGGAUGGCCGCCAAGCCUGGCUCCCUCGACGGGCCCUGUGGCAGCCAGGGAGCGUCCCUCUGGGCUGCUGUCCGGUUUGGGGGUGCAGCGCAGGGCGCACAACCCCUCUGGGCUGUGCCAGGAGUCUGGGGGGAGGGCGUGGUUUCCAGAAGCCCCGACGCUCUGGCGCUCUGGGGCAGGUCCCGGAUCAGGCGGCCCUGCAUCAGUCAGGGCUGCCGCCGAACGGCUGGUGACCUGGAACAGUGCCUAACUGUAGCUCUAAGCCCCGGUGCCCUCAUCUGGAAAGUGGGGUAGUCCUGGGACCGAGCUCCUGGGCUCAGGCUGAGGACAAAGCCAUGGUGUGCGGAGCUCAGCACGGGAAGUGCCUGGUGCUGAGGUCGGGCUGACGUCACACGUGAGACCCUGGGGAGAUCGGCCCGUCCUCGAGUGCUGUCCCUCCCGGGACUCCCGCCCAUGUGACGAGAACUCCUCUUGUCUUUUAAAAACAUCUUCAUUACAUCAGCAAACACUGAUCGAGCACCAUGUUCCAGGCAUGCUACUGGGUCCCGGAGACACAGCAGUGAACAAAACAAAACAUUUUGCACGGAGCCUGCGUUCUCCUUGAGGCAUGUGGGAAUCUGAGAUCCCUUUCGGGGGUGAUCAGGGCUCUGAAGGACACAGAGUGUGGGGCUGGGGUGACGGAGGGAGCCCGGGUGCCCUCCCGGGGGUGCCUGGACACAAAGGAGAGGCCCCUGGGCGCCUGGGUUCGGAUGGGCUCCCAGCGGAGUAGCUGCCCCACCAAGUGCCUCUGAGGGCGCUGGAUGUGGCCUCUUGCUGCCAACAGGAGUCUGUGGGGCAACUGCCUCUUCCUAUGUGGAACCCCAGGCCUGGGAGCUGCUGCUCACGGUGGAACACCCCUUUCCCCGGACCCCCAGAGGGCCAGGUCCCCUGUGGCCAGGCUGCGGCAGGGACUCUGGACUCAGACUCCUUCCCCAAGGUGGGGGAGCCAGAGGGCUCUGGGUACCAUCUGGGUGUGGGCAUGGUGCUCUGGGGCAGGGUGCUCGCGGUGCUCGCUGGUGCUCGCGGUGCAUGGGGUCUGCAGGGUGCCCCAGUCUCAGUGUGUCCACCUGUCAGAUGGGCACGUGCCACCUGCUGGAGGGACUGGAAGGGGAGGGGGCUCUGGCCUCCAGAUCCACCUCCACUCCUGGAAGCGGCCAUUGGGAGCAGGCUCUGUGUUCCCACCUGGACCACGAGGUUGGUGCACACCUGUGCAUGUGUGUGUGUGUGUGCAAAUAUGUAGGGGACAGUGGGAAUCAAAACUCAGAAGCUGCAGGGCCAGGCUGCCGGGCCACGGUGGCUCCGGAGCGGUCCCCAGGCAUUAGCAGCAUCCCCAAGGAUGAUCUAAAAAUCGUUUAUUUUUUGCUAUAGAAAAAGUCCUUCACCGUUUUCCUGCAGGUUGCAGAGCCUGAGGCAGCCGGCGGUGUGGUUGGUUGUGUCACUCGUGGCUUCACAGGGCCGCGGGCGGUGAGACAAAGUGGUCAGAAGGGUGUCCACACACGUGGGCGAGAACUGCCACAGGCACCAGAUCCGGGACAGGCCAGGUCCUUGGCCCCAUCCUACAGAUGGAGCAGCAGAGGCCCCAGGGUGGGGAGUGGGGCCCAGGUCCACCACGGAGGGGUGGCAGAGCCAAGGUUCGUAAUUUAAUUUUGAGAUAGGGUCUCACUAAAUUGCUCAGGUUGGCCUUGAACUUGUGAUCCUCCUGCCUCAGCCUCUGGAGGAGCUGGGAUUGCAGGUGUGCAUGGCCAUGCUUGGAUCGGAAUGGGGAUUUGAACCUGGGCCUGUGUGGCUUCUGCAUGCUCACACCAAACCCGCUCUCACCUAGUGCUGGGGUUCUUGAGGCCAGUUUGGGGGUCAGAGAGAUGUUCAAGGCGUGUUAAUCCCGUACCUCCUCCCCCCAAUCUGAAGAAGAGCUGGCUUGGGGUUGAAUCCGAAGCAGAGGCAUCUCUGACUGGGACCCUUGCCCCCUCACCUGUGGGGGUAAUUACCUGCCUGGUUAAUGGCACACACUUCCUGCACCUUUCAUCAGGGCCUGCAGCUUCCAGGCAGUAAUUAACCCUCACUGCACCCUCUGAAGUCUGCAUUUGAGGCAGACAUGUCAUUAAACCCAUUUUAAGGGUAGGUAAACUGAGGUACAGCCCAUUGUGGCCUGGGAGCCUGUUGUUUCCCGUGACUCAGCAGCUAACUAACCUCUGCUUUCUUCCCACAGGAAGCAGUGUCUGGCCAGUACCCUCCACCGGGGCUGAGCUCGGGACAGGUCCUGGAAGGCCCUGGGGCCCUGUUCCCCUCUCCUGCCUCCCAGGGGUGCAGGGGAAGGAGUUCUAAGCAGAUGAAAGUGUUGACAUCCUGAGACAAUUUGCUGACCUUCUCUGGGCCUCAGUUUCCUCCUUGGCAGAGCCUUUUACCUGUCCGAUUGACAGUGUUUUCCCAGAGUUCAGCCUGGUGUCUGGUAUACAGUAGAUGCUUAAGAAACAGUUGCUUCAUCCGCUUCCUUCCUUGCCAGCUCCAGAAGUUUCUGCCUGGCCCACGGGGGGAGAGGAAGGAGAGACUGCAGGCAGAGGAAAUAGCCGGACAGAGAAUGGAAGGCAACCAUUUCCAAGGAGGCUCUCAUGAAGCAGGGUGAAGAGGAAGAGGCAUCCGAGUUCUAGUGAUAACAGCAAAUAUUUCCUUUUGAAAUAAAUUGAUUUAAGCGGAAAAGUAAGACAACGUGAAGAAAAACAUUCGGUAAGUAAUGCUAGAAAGCAGGCAGCACAAAAAUCAUAACGGCAGUGACCAGAACAGUCCUGAGGUGGGGAGCUCCGGUGUGUUCUGCCAAAGACCGGACAGCGCUGUGCUAGGCAUCAGCGACACAGCAACAUUUUUUGCCAUUUUGGUGGUAAUUUCUCCCCACCGAGCUCCUCUUCAUGCCUCAAAAGUCAAUUCAAAUGACCCUUCCCUUGUCCAGACAUUUCCUGCUACACUUGUCACAUCCUAUUUUCUAUGUCUGUGACUAUCUUCCUGGGCAGGGGACGCGUCCGGCAGCAUCUAUCUAGCAGGGGUGGCAGAGAGCCUGGGGCACAGACUAGCACCUCUCAAGGGUAGAAGCUAUUAGACACCAAGGAAGGUGAGUGUGCUGAUCUGAUUGGCUGAAACUGGCCAGCUCCGCCCCCAAUGAAGUGGCCCAAGGCCCCUCCCCGUUGCAAUCUGGGCCGACCUCAUGCAAGCCAAGGUCGAGCCCUUGGCCUUCCCUCCCACUGACCGAGACACUAAGAACAGUGCUCUCCGAACCCAGCUCCAAGAGCGGGGAGGCCCCCUCGCUACUCCCCACCCAGGGCCCACGGGCGCCUUCCCCGCGGGGCUCCUCAUCCCCGCUCCAGGCGCCUCUGCACUGCCCCUUCCCGGGACCCCUGCUCCCCCGCCUGUGCCCGGCUCCUCCACUACUCUCCUCGCUCCUGCGGCUCCGUCCUUCCACCGCCAUUCCCACCCGGGCCUGCGCUCUUGCUCCUCCCUCCGCCUAGAACUUUCCUCCCCGCUCUCCCAGUGACUGGCCCGUUCUGAGUUCUGAGCUAAGCGGCGCCCCCCAGGGCCCUCCCCGCGGCCCUCUCCGAGCCCCGCCCCUUCGCCUGGCUUUUAGCUCAUCGCUGUUUACUGCCUUGGCAGCUGGGAGCGCCCUCGUUUUGGAGUUCACGUGUGUGUUCAUUUGUUUUUGUCUGUGUCCUCAGCUACUGUCACCUCCACGAGGGAUUUGGUCUCUCGCUCUCUCAGUCCUUCCAAGGCCGGGCACAGGUCGCAACACGGUACCCAGCGCUCAGUCAGCAUUUAUGGAAUGAGUGAAUGAAGAAUGAAUGAAUGAGCGCAGGAGCUCUCCCUUCGGGUGCGUGGGCUGCUCCGGCCCAGGACCACGGGCUCCCUCAGCUCCUUCUGGCCCCGGUGCCCAGCGUGAUGCCCAGUGCUGCCCUCCUGGGUCCCGCCAGGCCUGUGUCUUGCCCAAGAACUGCCCCUUGCCGGCUCCCUCUGGGUUCCCCCGCGUGGACCGAAGGGAGGCUCCAUGGCUGGGUCCUGCGGGAGCCAGCGGGGAGCACUGCAGGACAGGGAGCCCAGCACCGCGCACGCCAGCUGCCGUUCCUGGCGCCAUGCCCGACCAGAGGGCUCUGCCCUGGCCCGCACAGGUGCUCGGAACACCCAGGUGAGGAGGGGCGGAGCACGCGGCUGAAGAGCGAGGGGCCAGGGCAGGGCCCCCACAAGUGCUGCCCGGUCACUGUGCUUUUGGUUAAAACUUGGCUUAGCAGGAGAUUUGAAAAGUGAGCUGAUCUGCAGAAGGAGGCAGUCGCAGUGUAGAGGGGAAAGGUGAAUGUGGCAAAUGGUGCCCGAUUUUAAGGGGGGUCGGGAGCCUUCAAGUCCUCCUUCCUGACCCAGCAGCACCGUGGACCCUCGCCCGCAGCCAUAGCCUGCAGCACUCCUGGCUCCCCGGCCGGCUCUGCCUCUGCCCUCUGCUCCAACGUGGUGUCCCCAGGUCACACUAAGGUGAACAUGUGGGAAAAUGGCCAGGACAGCACCGAGAAAGAUGGAAGAGGAUGGAUUCGUUCAUCCAGGCACUAACGUAUGUGACAAAGGAGCGGGGGUGGGGAUAUGUCCCAGCUGUCUGGAUGUGCACGACUCCUCCCUAAGUCCACCCGCCUCGACUCCUGGAGACAACUCUGCAAGCUCCUGCUCACCGUGUCUGCCCUGGAAGAUCGGACGCCUCCAGUGUGCGUUAGAGAACAUUACCUCCAUCCCUUCUUGGGCCUCCUUGGGCUCUUCUGGUUAGCCCCAAAGAGCGCGUCCCCAGGCUGCCUGGGCUCUGACCUUCUCCUGUCCUUCUCUCGAGGUGAGGUAGGGCAGACCUCAAGCUUAGAGCCUUCUGCACAGAACAGAGCCCAGCUCAUAUUUAAUACAAUUCUUCUGUGAUCAUUGUUGUUAA